UAGCUUGCUAUCAAUGGUGAGAGUGGCGCACGGGUGCGUAACGCGUGAGCAACCUACCUCCAUCAGGGGGAUAGCCUCUCGAAAGAGAGAUUAACACCGCAUAAUAUCAACAGUUCGCAUGUUCAGUUGAUUAAAUAUUUAUAGGAUGGAGAUGGGCUCGCGUGACAUUAGCUAGUUGGUAGGGUAACGGCUUACCAAGGCGACGAUGUCUAGGGGCUCUGAGAGGAGAAUCCCCCACACUGGUACUGAGACACGGACCAGACUCCUACGGGAGGCAGCAGUAAGGAAUAUUGGUCAAUGGGCGGAAGCCUGAACCAGCCAUGCCGCGUGCAGGAUGACUGCCCUAUGGGUUGUAAACUGCUUUUGUCCAGGAAUAAACCUAAAUACGAGUAUUUAGCUGAAUGUACUGGAAGAAUAAGGAUCGGCUAACUCCGUGCCAGCAGCCGCGGUAAUACGGAGGAUCCGAGCGUUAUCCGGAUUUAUUGGGUUUAAAGGGUGCGUAGGCGGCCUGUUAAGUCAGGGGUGAAAUACGGUGGCUCAACCAUCGCAGUGCCUUUGAUACUGAUGGGCUUGAAUCCAUUUGAAGUGGGCGGAAUAAGACAAGUAGCGGUGAAAUGCAUAGAUAUGUCUUAGAACUCCGAUUGCGAAGGCAGCUCACUAAGCUGGUAUUGACGCUGAUGCACGAAAGCGUGGGGAUCGAACAGGAUUAGAUACCCUGGUAGUCCACGCCCUAAACGAUGAUAACUCGAUGUUGGCGAUAGACAGCCAGCGUCUUAGCGA
rnacentral:rRNA from 1 species